rnacentral:rRNA from 1 species
UACGUAGGGUGCGAGCGUUAAUCGGAAUUACUGGGCGUAAAGCGUGCGCAGGCGGUCUGUUAAGACAGAUGUGAAAUCCCCGGGCUUAACCUGGGAACUGCAUUUGUGACUGGCAGGCUAGAGUAUGGCAGAGGGGGGUAGAAUUCCACGUGUAGCAGUGAAAUGCGUAGAGAUGCGGAGGAAUACCGAUGGCGAAGGCAGCCCCCUGGGCCAAUACUGACGCUCAUGCACGAAAGCGUGGGGAGCAAACAGG